rnacentral:RNase_P_RNA from 1 species
UAAGUAUCUCAGAUGACUGCAUGGCUUUCUUUUUGAAUGCUAUGAGGAAAGUCCGGACUCCAAGUGGCCCCGACUUAAUCGGGGUGGACGCCUGCGAGAGCAGGGAGGGAGUGAUCUUUCGGAUAAAAGGGCAACAGAAAGUAAACCGCCCCGCUUGCUUGCAAUAUGCGCUGCGUACUGUAAGUUAGCGGGGUGAGGGUGAAAUGGUGGUGUAAGAGACCACCGGUCUGAUCAGUAAUGGUCAGAUGCAUUGCAACCCCCGUUCGGAGCAAGGCAAAUAUACUGCUGCAUCCUAUUUCGCGCUUUGCUUGUAAAGUCUAGUGCGAUUAUGGGUCCCGCUAACUUGUGGCAUAAGAUAUGUUUAUACGAAAUUUUGUGCUAGGGGUUAGCGGGAAGAGAGAUAGUCAUCUGAAACAGAAUCCGGCUUAUGAGCUGCUUAGUCC